GAUGAACGCUGGCGGCGUGCCUAAUACAUGCAAGUCGAGCGAACGGACGAGAAGCUUGCUUCUCUGAUGUUAGCGGCGGACGGGUGAGUAACACGUGGAUAACCUACCUAUAAUACUGGGAUAACUUCGGGAAACCGGAGCUAAUACCGGAUAAUAUUUUGAACCGCAUGGUUCAAAAGUGAAAGACGGUCUUGCUGUCACUUAUAGAUGGAUCCGCGCUGCAUUAGCUAGUUGGUAAGGUAACGGCUUACCAAGGCAACGAUGCAUAGCCGACCUGAGAGGGUGAACGGCCACACUGGAACUGAGACACGGUCCAGACUCCUACGGGAGGCAGCAGUAGGGAAUCUUCCGCAAUGGGCGAAAGCCUGACGGAGCAACGCCGCGUGAGUGAUGAAGGUCUUCGGAUCGUAAAACUCUGUUAUUAGGGAAGAACAUAUGUGUAAGUAACUGUGCACAUCUUGACGGUACCUAAUCAGAAAGCCACGGCUAACUACGUG
rnacentral:rRNA from 1 species